rnacentral:rRNA from 1 species
UACGUAGGGGCCUAGCGUUGUCCGGAUUUAUUGGGCGUAAAGAGCUCGUAGGCGGCUUGGUUAGUCAGGUGUGAAAUCUCCACGCUCAACGUGGAGGCGCCACCUGAAACUGCCAUGGCUUGAGUCCGGUAGGGGAGUGUGGAAUUCCCGGUGUAGCGGUGAAAUGCGCAGAUAUCGGGAGGAACACCGGUGGCGAAGGCGGAUCUCUGGGCCUUACCUGACGCUGAGGCGCGAAAGCUAGGGGAGCGAACAGG